rnacentral:rRNA from 1 species
GACGUAGGGCGCGAGCGUUGUCCGGAUUUAUUGGGCGUAAAGAGCUCGUAGGCGGCUUGUCGCGUCGACUGUGAAAUCCCGCGGCUCAACCGCGGGUCUGCAGUCGAUACGGGCAGGCUAGAGUUCGGUAGGGGAGACUGGAAUUCCUGGUGUAGCGGUGAAAUGCGCAGAUAUCAGGAGGAACACCGGUGGCGAAGGCGGGUCUCUGGGCCGAUACUGACGCUGAGGAGCGAAAGCGUGGGGAGCGAACAGG